CACGUAGAGCGCAAGCGUUGUCCGGAAUUAUUGGGCGUAAAGAGCUCGUAGGCGGUCUGUUGCGUCUGCUGUGAAAACUCGGGGCUUAACCCCGAGCCUGCAGUGGAUACGGGCAGACUAGAGGUAGGUAGGGGAGAAUGGAAUUCCCGGUGUAGCGGUGAAAUGCGCAGAUAUCGGGAGGAACACCGGUGGCGAAGGCGGUUCUCUGGGCCUUACCUGACGCUGAGGAGCGAAAGCGUGGGGAGCGAACAGG
rnacentral:rRNA from 1 species